rnacentral:rRNA from 1 species
CAGUCGCCACGGGAAUACGUAGGUGGCAAGCGUUGUCCGGAAUUAUUGGGCGUAAAGGGCUCGCAGGCGGUUUCUUAAGUCUGAUGUGAAAGCCCCCGGCUCAACCGGGGAGGGUCAUUGGAAACUGGGAAACUUGAGUGCAGAAGAGGAGAGUGGAAUUCCACGUGUAGCGGUGAGAUGCGUAGAGAUGUGGAGGAACACCAGUGGCGAAGGCGACUCUCUGGUCUGUAACUGACGCUGAGGAGCGAAAGCGUGGGGAGCGAACAGGAUUAGAUACCCCCGUAGUCCCUGUCUCUUAUAC